rnacentral:rRNA from 1 species
UGAAUACGAGACGCUACGGCGUCGAAGCAGUCUAUGUCAUACUUCCAAGAAAAGCUUGCACUGUCAUAAACAAAUAAUGCCUGUACCAUAACCGACACAGGUGGGUAGGUAGAGUAUACUAAGGGGCGCGAGAUAACUCUCUCUAAGGAACUCGGCAAAAUGACUCCGUAACUUCGGGAGAAGGAGUGCCUUAUUUAUAAGGUUGCAAUAACAAGAUCCAAGCAACUGUUUAUCAAAAACACAGGUCUCCGCUAAGUCGUAAGACGAUGUAUGGGGGCUGACGCCUGCCCAGUGCCAGAAGGUUAAAGAAGUUGGUUAGCAUUAGCGAAGCUGAUAACUGAAGCCCUGGUGAACGGCGGCCGUAACUAUAACGGUCCUAAGGUAGCGAAAUUCCUUGUCGGGUAAGUUCCGACCCGCACGAAAGGCGUAAUGAUUUGGAUACUGUCUCGGAGAGGGGCUCGGUGAAAUAGACUUGUCUGUGAAGAUGCGGACUACCUGCACCUGGACAGAAAGACCCUAUGAAGCUUUACUGUAACCUGAAAUUGAAAUUGGACUUUAUUUGCGCAGUAUAGGUGGGAGGCGUUGAGAAUAUUCUUGCGGGAAUAUUGGAGCCAUCAGUGAGAUACCACUCUUGUAAUGUUAGAUUUCUAACUUUGAAUCAUUAUCUGGUCAAAGAACAGUUUCAGGCGGGCAGUUUGACUGGGGCGGUCGCCUCCUAAAUGGUAACGGAGGCGCACAAAGGUUUCCUCUGAACGGGUAGAAAUCGUAUCUAGAGUGUAAAGGCAUAAGGAAGCUUGACUGUGAGACCUACAAGUCGAGCAGGGACGAAAGUCGGUCUUAGUGAUCUGACGGUGCUGAGUGGAAAGGCCGUCACUCAACGGAUGAAAGUUACUCUAAGGAUAACAGGCUGAUCUCCCCCAAGAGUUCACAUCGACGGGGAGGUUUGGCACCUCGAUGUCGGCUCAUCGCAUCCUGGGGCGGUAGUACGUCCCAAGGGUUGGGCUGUUCGCCCAUGAAAGCGGUACGCGAGCUGGGUUCAGAACGUCGUGAGACAGUUCGGUCCAUAUCCGGUGUAGGCGUUAGAAUAUUGAGAGGAGCCUUCUUUAGUACGAGAGGACCGAGAAGGACAUACCUCUGGUGUACCAGUUAUCGUGCCAACGGUAAACGCUGGGUAGCUAUGUAUGGAGAGGAUAACCGCUGAAAGCAUCUAAGUGGGAAGCCCACCUCAAGAUAAGUAUUCUCA